GGCUUAGAGUUUGAUCCUGGCUCAGAUUGACCGCUGGCGGCAGGCCUAACACAUGCAAGUCGAGCGGAUGAAGAGAGCUUGCUCUCUGAUUCAGCGGCGGACGGGUGAGUAAUGCCUAGGAAUCUGCCUAUUAGUGGGGGACAACGUUUCGAAAGGAACGCUAAUACCGCAUACGUCCUACGGGAGAAAGCAGGGGACCUUCGGGCCUUGCGUGAAUAGAUGAGCCCAGGUCGGAUUAGGUAGUUGGUGAGGUCCCGGCUUUCCAUGGCGGCGAUCCGUAACUGGUCUGAGAGGAUGAUCAGUCACACUGGAACUGAGACACGGUCCAGACUCCUACGGGAGGCAGCAGUGGGGAAUAUU
rnacentral:rRNA from 1 species